rnacentral:rRNA from 1 species
AUACGGAGGGUCCAAGCGUUAUCCGGAAUCAUUGGGUUUAAAGGGUCCGUAGGCGGGUUUGUAAGUCAGUGGUGAAAGUUUUCGGCUCAACCGGAAAAUUGCCAUUGAUACUGCAAGUCUUGAAUCAUUAUGAAGUGGUUAGAAUGUGUAGUGUAGCGGUGAAAUGCAUAGAUAUUACACAGAAUACCGAUUGCGAAGGCAGAUCACUAAUAAUGUAUUGACGCUAAGGGACGAAAGCGUGGGUAGCGAACAGGAUUAGAAACCCGAGUAGUCC